ensembl:lncRNA
CCUAGUUGUGUUUAAUGAUAUUUUAACUUUGUGAUUUGUGUACCAACCAUCUGUAUUGAAAGAUCUUUUCUCCCCCCAUGGUAAUGGAUGAAAAGGGGAUAUUUUACAUGUGUGCAGCCUCAUAUUUAUAUCCCAGGGAAACAGGACAUGGUUAAAGGUAAACGUGCAAAUGCGAAAUAAUAUAAUGUUCAAGAAUGUCAAAGAAUUUGUUUGCGUUUAUAUAAAAUAUUCCUCAAUAAUUUUGGCACAUAUAUCUCAGAGAAAAUACUAUUAUGAAAAAUCUAAUGAGAUUUAUUUUUUUUCUUACAACAAAGAUAAAUAGUUUCUCUGAGUGGAAAAUGUUAAUUAUUGUGUGUAAUGUUUAUUUUAUUUAAAAAAAAAUUAUGAAGGGUGCCAAUAAUUAUGGAGGACACUGUAUAUAAAAAGCUCUAUGUUGAUUUGCACAUGACAAUGUAAAUUUAUUUUUUUUAAAUGGUUAUUACUCUUAUUAUUAUUGCUAUUAUUGCUAGUAUGAUCAUUUUUUGAUAAUAUUCCAGUUUCUCUAUUCCUUUUCAGCAUUUUCUUGUGAUGAGCUUUAUAAGGAAACACUCACCUUUGUAGUAAUAACACCAAUAACACCAUCUUGGAAAACUUGUAUUGCCAUUUGACCGUUCGUAGUCAGCGCCAUCCAUUAAGACUCGUCAUUGUAUGUGUGAGUUUAUAUAAGCUUAUAGAAGCAACCAAGAUUUUUUUUCUCCUGGAAAAAUUGAAUCUACUCUUUGUGCCAGCAAUGACUUGGUGCUGCUUUUGCUCCCACACAGCAAAGGAGUAUGAUUUUGUUUUGUUACCUUGAAACUUUAUAGAAGCUUAACUUGAAACUUUUGGCAGUGCUAUUUUUCUAUAUUACCCUGUACACAUGUUAAUGGAAUUUCAUAGGCACUGGUAGCUUAUCCUCUUUUUCCAGUGACAAGUUUCUUACCAGUUGUUAUUGCGGGUAUUGUAUUCAUCAUAUUUUGCCUCUUUCCAUGUGGAAUAUUAACAGGUCCCUGGUUGUGACUGUUAUUAACUACAAAUACCAAGAGCAUAGCACUAUCAAACCUAAUAGAACCAAUAAUAUCUACUGUUCUAUGUGUGGAGAUGCUGGGAAAUGUGGUCUGGCUUAUUCCUGACACACCAAUAAAUGAUUGCC